rnacentral:lncRNA from 1 species
UUCUUUUCUAGGUUGUCACUGAUCAGAAAACUGAAAAAGAGCACUUCUCUGCACUCUUAAGGUUUAUGGAGAGAUUACAGGAAGGUAAUGUGAAAAGAAGGGAAGAGAGGCCGGAGAAAAACUGUCUGAUCAAAACCAAGGAUCCACGCUGCUGCCAGGGACUAGAUGAUGCCUAGGAUCUGAGCUGCCAACUGAAACCAGGAAGUCCACGAUCCAUGCAACCUCCGGAAACCACACAGAAGUUCAUGAUCUGUGCUGCCAUUGGCUCCUAUGGGCAAGGAAACUUUGUUUGUAGUGGUAUAGAUGACUACCGACUCGUAACUGAGGACGGGAGACGUGGGGUCGUCAAUGACACUCCCAACCCCUGCAAAAACAAAAGACAGACAGACAGACAAACAAACAAGCAAACAGUGGAGACAGAAAGCUAUUGAAGCGUUCCUUUCAAUAAUGAGGUAACAAUGUUGAUGCUAAAUUAUAGCUCUUCACAGCUGAUGGCUUCUGGUGCAGUGGGAGUGGAUGGAGGGGGUAGAGGUGGGGAAUGGGAGGUGUGGGGAGGACUUGAUUUUUCUUUAAGGGGAUGGCCCUUGGGAGUUUGAUCAUACUGCAAUGAGUACAUGGGCAACACAAAACUGGACUUGAUGUUGUUUUGUUGUUGUUGUGGGGAGGGAGCAAGGGUGGAGAGAUGGAUCUGGGAGGAAUGGGAAAUGAGUGUGAUCAAGAGUGCAUUGUAAAGCCCAGGUUUCACAGCUAAAAAAAAAAAAAGAGUGCAUUGUACAAAAUUUUCAAAUAAUUAAUAAAGAAUAUUAUGUUUAGAAAAAUUCAAAUGUAUUUACUUAGUGAAUGUGUACGUGCGUGCAUUUGUGUGUGUGUG